AUUGAACGCUGGCGGCAUGCCUUGCACAUGCAAGUCGAACGGCAGCACGGGAGCAAUCCUGGUGGCGAGUGGCGAACGGGUGAGUAAUGUAUCGGAACGUACCUUUCAGUGGGGGAUAACGUAGCGAAAGUUACGCUAAUACCGCAUAUUCUGUGAGCAGGAAAGCAGGGGAUCGCAAGACCUUGCGCUGAUUGAGCGGCCGAUAUCAGAUUAGCUAGUUGGUGAGGUAAAGGCUCACCAAGGCGACGAUCUGUAGCGGGUCUGAGAGGAUGAUCCGCCACACUGGAACGGAGACACGGUCCAGACUCCUACGGGAGGCAGCAGUGGGGAAUUUUGGACAAUGGGCGCAAGCCUGAUCCAGCCAUGCCGCGUGAGUGAAGAAGGCCUACGGUUUGUAAAGCUCUGUCGGCCGGGAAGAAAUCGUGUGGGUUAAUACCCUGCAUGGAUGACGGUACCGGAAUAAGAAGCACCGGCUAACUACGUGCCAGCCGCCGCCGUAAAAC
rnacentral:rRNA from 1 species